rnacentral:lncRNA from 1 species
UGCUAACCCAGUGUCGCACAGGAUGGGUUCAGAGAGGAGAAACCGUGCCCCAGCGCGGGGCAGAGAGGAGGUGGCGCCCCUCAGAGGGAGCCCUUGGUCUGCCCACACAGCUGGCGAUUUCAUGCAAAGAGGCUGGAAGCAAAUGUGAAGGAAAUGUGAAGGAAAUAAAAAACAAAACAAAGCAAAGUAAUGAACGUGCCCACAGUCCUGAGAACAGGGGACUGGAGGGAGACCGCCACCUUGGGACUCUGGUAAGAAUUAUGAGGAUGAGGCGAGCAAGUUGGGGACCUGGCUCACGUUGAGGAAUUGCUACACUUGCCUAGAUCAGCCACUUCAGGACUUCUUGUUAAGUUUAGGAGAUAAUUCCCAUUUGAUUAAAUUGGUAGAGUCAAGUUUCUGUUGCAUGCAUAGAAAUGCAAUUUCAAACGGACACACGCACAGCAUUUGGAAAUAUUACCAU